rnacentral:rRNA from 1 species
GACGGAGGGCACAAGCGUUGUUCGGAAUUACUGGGCGUAAAGCGCGGGCAGGUGGUCUGUUAAGUCGUUUGUGAAAAUCCGGGGCUCAACCCCGUGAAAUGCGUACGAUACUGGCAGGCUGGAGAUCGGUAGAGGCUAGCGGAAUUCCUGGUGUAGCGGUGGAAUGCGUAGAGAUCAGGAAGAACACCCGUGGCGAAGGCGGCUAGCUGGGCCGAGUCUGACACUCAUCCGCGAAAGCGUGGGGAGCAAACAGG